rnacentral:rRNA from 1 species
UACCAGACUCCUACGGGAGGCAGCAGUGGGGGAUAUUGCACAAUGGGGGAAACCCUGAUGCAGCAACGCCGCGUGAGUGAAGAAGUAUUUCGGUAUGUAAAGCUCUCUCAGCAGGGAAGAAGAUGACGGUACCUGAUUAAGAAGCCCCGGCUAACUACGUGCCAGCAGCCGCGGUAAUACGUAGGGGGCAAGCGUUAUCCGGAUUUACUGGGUGUAAAGGGAGCGCAGACGGCAGUGCAAGUCUGGAGUGAAAGCCCGGGGCCCAACCCCGGAACUGCUCUGGAAACUGUGCAGCUCGAGUGCAGGAGAGGUAAGCGGAAUUCCUAGUGUAGCGGUGAAAUGCGUAGAUAUUAGGAGGAACACCAGUGGCGAAGGCGGCUUACUGGACUGUAACUGACGUUGAGGCUCGAAAGCGUGGGGAGCAAACAGGAUUAGAUACCCUGGUA